rnacentral:rRNA from 1 species
AUUCCCCUAGUAGCGGCGAGCGAAGCGGGAAGAGCUCAAAUUUGUAAUCUGGCGCUUUCAGCGUCCGAGUUGUAAUCUCUAGAAAUGUUUUCCGCGUUGGACCGCACACAAGUCUGUUGGAAUACAGGCGGCACAGUGGUGAGGUGCGCCCCGUUCAUGGUGCGGAUGCCCAAUGCUUUGUGAUACAUUUUCGAAGAGUCGAGUUGUUUGGGAAUGCAGCUCAAAUUGGGUGGUAAAUUCCAUCUAAAGCUAAAUAUUGGCGAGAGACCGAUAGCGAACAAGUACCGUGAGGGAAAGAUGAAAAGCACUUUGGAAAGAGAGUUAACAGUACGUGAAAUUGUUGGAAGGGAAACGCUUGAAGUCAGACUUGCUGUUCGGAGUUCAGCCGCAAGGUGUACUCUCCGAGUUGCAGGCCAGCAUCAGUUUUCUGGGGUGGAAAAUCACAGAUUGAAGGUAGCAGUUUCGGCUGUGUUAUAGCUUUCUGUAGGAUACAUCCUGGGGGACUGAGGAACGCAGUGUGCUUUUAGCGGGGGUUUCGACCUCUUCACACUUAGGAUGCG